rnacentral:rRNA from 1 species
CCCUUAGAUGUUCUGGGCCGCACGCGCGCUACACUGACUACUUCAACGAGUUGUUUCCUUGAUCGAAAGGUCUGGGUAAUCUUUGAAAGGUAGUCGUGAUGGGGAUAGAUCCUUGCAAUUUUUGAUCUUCAACGAGGAAUUCCUAGUAAACGCAAGUCAUCAGCUUGCAUUGAUUACGUCCCUGCCCUUUGUACACACCGCCCGUCGCACCUACCGAUUGAAUGGUCCGGUGAAGCCUCCGGAUUGGCGCGCACCUCGGUGCCGCCGAGAAGUUGGCUAAACCUUACCAUUUAGAGGAAGGUGAAGUCGUAACA